UCCCUGGCUUUUAUAUUUUUCCUACAGAACUUAUCCAUGUUAUUGCUUCCCAACCAAUAUUAACAGGGGUCUGCAGUCCCAUUUGAAAUUAAAAUGCUGUAACAACUACAGCAAAAGCUGACAUCUUUUCUGUGCACAGGGUUGCAGAUCUGGAGGAGGGGCUUUGUGGGAUUGCUUGGGGUUUUGAUUGCAACAAGCUUUUGUAGAUACAGGUCCUCUACCAAGGCCAAAGCUUUAAUUCCAGCCUGACUCCUACCUCCCCUCCUUAGCGCUCAGCAGAGCCCUUUGAAUGAAUCAAAGGCCUCAACUUAAAGGAAUAGACCGCAUUGUUCUUAAGGAAAUACAUUUCAAAGCUUAUUACAGUUAUUCAUCCUUGUACUCCCAGACAAUGAGUUUUAAAAGUCUUUCUAAGCCAUCAGUCCUGUGACUGGAUUUCAGAAAUGGAUUAGGCUCCUCAUUAUGUGUCCGCUGUCCCGUUCUGUGGCACAUGUACCAUGUGAGAAGCUGUGAACUUCUGCAUGUACGUAUUUGUUUGCAGUUAUUGUAUCACCAAGGAUUUGAAAGAGGAAAAAAAAGACAACAAAACAACAGCAAAUCCAAACAAAAAAUGCCAAAGGAAACCCUCUUCCUUUAGAGAACUGUAGCCAUUUAGGAAACAUUUGGCUACUUGCAUUUCCAGGGGAAUAUUAACAUCUAUCCCAGAUGAGAUAGGUUUUUAUGCAGUCAUUUCGUACCCAGUCAUGUGAUCUAUCAAAAGUGUAAAGGCUUAAUGAUUAUGUUCAAAUACCACGGUGUUAAGAUUUCCCUGCAGCACCCUUCAUUACUUCACUGGUGAGACAGUCAUUUUGCCGGGCUUCUGUCCAAAGUGGGGCACGAGAAGAGCUGUAACAGCUAUCCUGGUGUAGAGGCCAGCCAACAGCACCACAAUAUUGAAGGGCACAGUGCAGUCUGGAAGGCAAAGCUCCACAUACAAGGAUCACGUGCAAGGUGCUGUGGGCAGGUUGAAGUCACUCUGCAGGAAAGCAAGUUGCAGGCAGCCCAGGCAUGGCGAGCUCCCUUACCAGAAGGGAAACCAUUGUGGUGAGCAUCCCCAGCCUGGGGAGCAGGUCUGGAUCCACUGCUGCUGAGCCUGGGCUUUAGGUUGUUGUGGUACUGGAAUCUGCAAAGCAGUUGAAGAGAUUUAGGUGCAUAAGUCCCACUAACUUCAAUGGAGAGAAAGGGUUAAACUUCCCCAAGAGUUUAAUAAUCUCAGCAUAGAUGUAGGACUGCCUUUACCACCACUGCGUGGAACUUGGCAACAGCACGAGAGGACACAUCAACACUAAACAACGGUUUGGAACAGGAAGAGAAGAUGAAUAUCUAAUCCGACUGAAGCUCCAGAGGAAAUAUCACGCAGGCUGGCUGGAGCCGGCCCAGCAGCCUCACACUGAUGGCCGCAGCCUGACGGAAACUCUCCACGCAGGUCUCUCCCUGCCGCCCGUCAGUGCUGUGCAUCAGCCGCUGGAAGCACCGCUGCACUUUGGGGAGCCAGGGCCUCAGCCUUGAAGGACAACUAAAAAGACAGUUUGUAUAUCAUCUAAAAGCAAAAACCAUCCAUUAAAAGGACUGCUCGGGGUGUCUGGGAGGAGGUGGCAGCUCAGGCUAAUUCUUUUGUUUCUCUUAUUCAGUUUGUCAGAGAUAAAAGUCUUCCAAAACAUAAAUGCUUCCUACUUUGAAUACGAGGAGUGGGAGCACUGCGUUAUUUCUUCUAAAGAAAAUAAAAGCUAAAGCCUUUCUACCCAAAAGUCCCAAAAGACUCCAGAUUUCCCACUUAUCUAAGAAAAAUGAUUUGCACGAACGCUGUUUCCCAACACACGAGCUAUAAAUCGCCUCCAACUCCUGUGCAAGGACACCCCGAGAACUUCAACACCCGCGAGCUGGGAAGGCAGCCAAAGCCUUACGGAGCGGUGAUCGCAGUUCCCACACCAAAGCUGUUACAUGCGAAGUCUGUGGUGUCUCAGCGUUCCUCCUGAAGGCUGUUCUCAUGCAGAUACAGUAGAAAGUGAAGAAACCUGUCUCUCCCAGCCUGUGCCCAUGGAAAAUAAUGCUAAUGCACUGAAGCAGGGAAGCUCCCACAAAGUCACUGGUGCAGGGAGUCGACUCCUUCAGGGAGAGAAGCUGGCUUUUGAACCUGGCUAGUUCCUAGCUGAACGUGUUUUCUGAUCCAGGUCAUUGCCACAAAGAAGAAUAACAGUGGAGCAAGAAGCAUGCAGGAUUGGACUUCCCCUUUGCUGAGGACAGACACUAACAGGAUGAAGGGACUGCAUCACAACUUCAUCACGUGCUUUUGUGAAAUCCUUGUCAAC
ensembl:lncRNA